UAUAUUAAAUCUAAGUAUAAAGAGCCUUAGAAAAGAUAGUACAUAGAGAGAGAGAGAGAGAGAGAGAGAGAGAGAGAGAAAGUGGAGUUAGAAUUUUUUUUUUUUUAGAGAGAGAAAGGUAGUUUAGAAAUAAUUAACUUAGUUGGAAAUAUAAAUCAAUUAGAAUUCAAAAUUAGGACCUCGGAUACCAACCCCAAAUCCUUCGCCACUUGCACUAGGGACGGUCGAUAGUUAAUUAGAAUGCCUUGAAGAGUAUUAAACCUUUUUUUUUUCUCUUUACUACGUACGUUGUUGUUUUGAUAGUGGGGCAUCUGAAUCGACAAAGUGAAUUUCAUUAUUUUCUAAAACUAUUUAUUUAAUAAUGGAAGAAGUUCAAAAUAAAUAAUUUUUGACGGUCUAUAUGAUAUGUUUUCUUGUUUAACAAUAAGAAACAGUUUAAAUUCAGUAAAUUUUUUUAUGAUUUUUUUUUUUUUUUUUAUCUAGAUCAUAUUCAACAGCUCUUAUGACGGGUUGAAAAAUCUUAACCAUUAUUUUUGUUCAUUUUAUAAUCAUUCGGUUUUUAGAUAUUUUAAAUUAAUGCUCUAAGUCAUAUUUAAUAGUGUUGAUCGUCGAUUCGGUGGCUCCAUCCCUUAAGAGUAUUCUAAUCAAACUCUCUCUCUCUCUCUCUCUCUCGUUAAUCAAAAAAAUUACAUAUCAAAUUAUUCAAAUUUAUUAACAAACUAAAAUAUACAAAAAAAAUUUAUAAAUAUUCAUUUUUGCACUUUACCAUCAUAUUUUUUAAACGCUUCUAUUACGCACCAUCAAAAUUUAAAAUU
rnacentral:lncRNA from 1 species